rnacentral:tRNA from 1 species
CGGAGUAUGGGGUAGUGGUAGCCCGCGUGCAUGGGGUGCAUGCAGCCUCGGUUCAAUUCCGGGUACUCCGACCA